rnacentral:rRNA from 1 species
GUAAUUUAAUUAACUUUCACGAAGAAGGUUGAGCUAAUUAACCAAGUUUAAAUAGAACUAUAACUAUAUGUUGCAGCAUAUAGCUGGUAUGGUUAAUUAGGGGUGAUAGGCCUCACAAGAUCUCCGAUAUCUUGCUUCCUGGGAAAUAUAUUAAGUAUAUCUUCAACUUAGGAGUGUCUAGGCUCUUGAGCCCUACUAAUUUAGAUUAAUAGCCCAAUAAAUUACCUAACGGUAAUUAUUUAAAUAGGGAUAAUAUAGAUUACUUGAAUUUGUACUAGCUUACUAGGACAUGUAUAGUAAUUAACUAUAUAAUGUUACUGUUAAUAUUAGUAUUGCGUUAAAGAUUUUUAUAGGAACUCGGCAAAUGACUUCUCAACUGUUUAUCAAAAACAUAGCUAGGUGAAUUUUAUUAAUACUUAGUGAUUCCUGCUCAAUGGUUUAACUAAAUAGCCGCAGUACCCUGACUGUGCAAAGGUAGCAUAAUCAUUUGGCUUAUAAUUAAAGUCUGGCAUGAAAGGAUAAAUGGGAGGUGACUGUCUUUAAAAAUUUACUAGAAAUUACUUAGCAAGUGAAAAUUCUUGCGAAUAUCUAAUAGACGAGAAGACCCUAGAAGUUUUAUAUAUUAAUAAUUGCAAUAUUGAUACUAUUUUGUUGGGGCGACAGAGUAGCAGUGAACCUAUUUUUCUAAAUUAGAACUAUAUAUCGAGUUAAAUUAAACUACUCUAGGGAUAACAGCAUAAUUUAUUAAAGUUUGUGACCUCGAUGUUGGACUAGGGACCUUAGUGCCUAGAAGGUACUAUGUCAAGCUCUGUUCGAGCUACUUUCCCUACAUGAUCUGAGUUCAGACCGGC